rnacentral:lncRNA from 1 species
UCUGCAGCUGGAUAAUUAACUGUGACAAAUGUGUAUAUAUACCUCUUUUAGAUGGACCAGCUUUUAGGUUCUGUUUUUGACGAGUUAGUGAAAGAAAUUUUUUAUUUUCUAAAAUACCCUGGAUACAGUGGUCUAUUGUCAGACUGGUAAGAUAAAGGAAACCUAUAAUGUGAUUUAUUUUGUUUAUUUUCAGAUUUAAAAAAAAUAAAAAUUUUAUUCUUUGUUUGGAUGACAGACACUUAUCAUGGCAGGUACAAUGAGGCUUACGCAGAUGCCAAAAACUUAGUGUGAGGUACAUCAGUGUUUUAUAAAGUACAUACAGAUUUUGUAGCCUGACUUUGUAUAUCAGUUUAGUGUCUCUGUGCCAUCCUUCAAUUUCUCCUUUUACAAUUCUGUAUUUGAAAGUACAAAAUGGUAGCAUUGCAUACAAAGUGUACAUAGUUAAGGCCUAUGACAGGGUUCACUGUAGGUAAUUUUAUAUUUGAAUCAAUGCCUGUGUAUGUUGCGUUACACUCUGUGAUGCAGUUGACAUAGUAAAUCGGGAGCUGGGCACCAGCUGUGGUGUGCACCGGUUAGUAAGGUGCAGGUACCCUGGUGUGCCCAUCAGUCGGUUUGCUCCAUCUUGGACUGCGUUGUAAUGAGAGAGUUGUCGGGAAAGGGGGGGGGGGAUUAGCAGGAGAGGAUAGAAAGAGAGAACUUGGGAGGGGGGGACUCGGGCGCAUCAACACCAGACAGGGGUCCUUGUGGUCCCGUUAAGUCUCCCGAUUGUCUGUUUACGGAUUGCCUUUGUUUCCCAGGAAUUCCUCCCAAGGCUGCCACACCUUGUUAAAGGCAGUUUUCUUAUUACGCACUUGCGCUGUCAGUUUAUCCAUGAGGAAGGUAUCUUUCAUGUCCGCAAUAACUUUGUCUAGUGGAGGGAUGUCAGUUAUUUUUGGGCCAGUGUGAUUUUAUUCACUAAUUUCUGUUCCCGUGCCGCGAGUCCAUCUAGUGGCUUGGCCAAAAGAUAGGUCUAGUGGUCCCUACCGACAGGUCUCUCCAGUACAUCAGUCAUUUACUUCUCUAUUGCUAUCCAAAAGCUCUCCACCCUUGGACAUGUCUAACACGUGGAUAUAGGUCCCCUUUGCACCGCAGCCCCUCCAGCAGUCAUCUGUGGGAGUUUUGCCCAUUCUAUGUAGUUUGACAGGAGUGGUGUACCACCUUAAGAAAGUUUUGUAUGACUGCUCUUGGUGCGCCACACAAAUGGAAACUUCUGCCAUUCUCUUCCCUCUAGGUUUGGUGUAGGUCUGUUUCCCAUUGUGCAAUGUAUGCAAGGGUUUUUUCGUUGCUCUCUGGGGAGCUGAGCUGGGCAUAGAAGAGGUGAUCAAACCUUUAUGUGCUAUCUCUGUCAUGCAAAGUCUUUCGUAGAAUGUGAGCGGGGCCCUGACUGCUGCUCAUAUGUGUGGUUUCCUAGCAAAGUCUCUUAAUUGAAUAUAUCUGAAAUGGUCUUUUGUGGUUAGCGGUGCAAGUUGUUUGAGUCCAUCAAACGCCCUAAACUCGUCCUUAUCAUACAUUUGGCAAUACCGCUGUAGCCCUGUGUAUUCCAAUCCUCUAAUGUGCCAUUGGUUCCUGUUGAAGACCUUCUCCGUGUCGAGUGAUAAGACGAGACAAGGCGUUCGAGUCUUACUGGCCCACCAUAUCAUGUCAAUUGCUCUUCUAGUGUUUUCAUGUAAUUGUCUUGUUGGGAUGAAGCCCACCUGACCUGCAUGUAUGAGCUUGGGCAGUAUUUGGUUCAGUCUGGUAGCUAGGAUUUUGGCGUAUACUUUGAUAUCAAAGUUAAUUAGUGAGAUAGGGUACUUUGGGAUAAGUAUAACGUUGGCAGAGGAGAGUGCUGAGUUGGGGUGUCCUCCCUUCAUCCUUUCUGUGUACAUGGCAGUCAUGUGUGGUACUAGUUCCUCUCGUAAUGUUUUGUAGUACUAUCCAUCAAACCCGUCUAGGCCCGACGCCUUGUUGCUCUUGAGCAUCCCCAUAGCCCUCUCUACCUCAUCCGGCAUUAUUCGUGAGCAUAGGUCGGUCAGGGCUCCCUCACUGGGUUUGGGUAGAUGUACUCUGUCUAGGAACUUGUUGACUGUUUUGACGUAGUCCACGUUGGCGUUAUUUAGAGUUGGGGAGUGAUUGUAAACUUGGCUCAGGAAUUCUGUGAAUUCCUUAUUAAUUUCCUUGGGUGUGGUCAGGGUUCUGCCUUGGGUGCUUUUUAAUGGCCGUAAUUAGUUUUUGUUUAGGUUUGAGUGUCCAUUUUGUUGGACUUCUUGUAAAAGAGCUGCUUAGAGUGGAGUACCUCUCUGCUUACAUUGUCUAGGAGAAAGUCCUGCAGAAAAUGUCUAAUAUUCUGUAGCUCCCGUAGUUUUUUUUUUUUUUUUUUCUGUGUGGGGCAUUGUAUAUGUUGCAUUUCUGUUUUGCAUAGGGCCAUUUGGAGUUCCGUUAACCGCUCUGUUUUUCGUUUUUUAUGAUGUGUGGCUAUUUUGACCAAUACCUCUCUCAAGACUGCCUUAUGGGCAGCCCAGAGUAUGGUUGGGGUUUGUCUGGAAGUAUGUUGUCAACUAAUUUUGUUUUAAGCUGAUCUAGGACCUCCUGGUCUCGUAGGAGGGAGUUUAGUCUCCAUCUCCAGGGUGCAUGGGAUCUCGGCACCUUCAGGGUUAAGGCGAUAUCCGCGUGGUCUGACUACAAGAUGAGGUUGACUGGAGCGGACUGUGUCCAUUGCAUGCCCAGCGGAGUCGUGAGGAAUAGGUCAAUGCGGGAAUAUGUGGAAUGUACUCCAGAGUAGUAUGUGUAAUCUAUUGUGUGUGUGGGUGUUGGAUUCUCCAGGGGUCUAAAAGGCCAGUGUUUUGUAUGAAUUUAUUGAGGAGCCUAUCCUGUCCCCCUCUGCCCUGAGCCCUGGGUAGUCCGGCCCUGCCACUGAGGUCAACCGCUGGAUACUGCUCUGCAUUCAGAUCCCCUUCUCCCUCUCCCUCCUCAAAUUAUUAUUCCCCCUACCAGUGAGCCUAUAAGGGUUUCUAGUGCGGUCCAGGGGUGUUAGGGGCAUACACGUUUAUCAUGUGAAGUGGUCGUGUUGAUUGUGCCUGUAAGUGCUAUGUAUCUGCCGUCGGCACCUCUAUGUAUAGUCUGCAGGAGGGAAAGGACCACUAAGGGAGGGGUGGGGGGUAAGAGUACCACUAAGGGGUUUGGGAAAGGGAGGGCCACUAAGGGGGUGGGGGGAGAGGAUGACCACUAAGGGAGGGAAGGGGGAGUGAGAAGACCACCAAGGUGGGGACAGGAGGGAUGGGGGGGAGAUAACUAAUUGACAGGAGGGUAGAGCACUAUAAAAAAAACUAAAAUAAUAAAUAAAGAGCUGUUCCCCUCUCAGUCCCUAUCCUACCCCACAAACCCUCUCUUUUACACUACACACAUACAC